rnacentral:rRNA from 1 species
GGACCCCACUGCUAUCGAGAUGGGACUAAGGUAUGCUAGUCGAACGACCAGAACUAUGUCUGGGAGUGGCACACUGCUCAGUAACACGUAGCUAACCUACCCUUAGGACGUGGAUACCCCCGAGAAAUUGGGGUUAAUCCGCGAUAGAUGUAAUGUCCUGGAAUGGUAUUACGUCUAAAGGUAUUUCAUACAUGUUUGAAAUAUGCCUAAGGAUGGGGCUGCGGCCGAUCAGGCUGUUGGUGAGGUAAUGGCUCACCAAACCUUUGACCGGUACGGGCCAUGAGAGUGGUAGCCCGGAGAUGGACACUGAGACAAGGGUCCAGGCCCUAAGGGGCGCAGCAACCGCGAAACCUCCACAAUGCACUCACGUGCGAUGGGGCUAUCUCGAGUGCCACCUGAUGAAGGUGGCUUUUCCUUGGUCUUCAAAGCCUUGGGAAUAAGAGGGGGGCAAGACUGGUGUCAGCCGCCGCGGUAACACCAGCCCCUCGAGUGGUGGGGAUGAUUAUUUGGCCUAAAGCGUCCGUAGCCGGCCGUGAAAGUCUUCCGUUAAAUCCAGCGUCUCAAGCGUUGGACCGCGGGAGAUACUACAUGGCUAGAGAGUGGGAGAGGUCAGCGGUAUUCUGGGGGUAGGGGCGAAAUCCUUUGAUCCCCGGAGGACCACCAGUGGCGAAGGCUGCUGACUAGAACACGUCUGACGGUCAGGGACGGAAGCUGGGGUAGCGAACCGGAUUAGAUACCCGGGUAGUCCCAGCCGUAAACGAUGCAUGCUAGGUGUUGGGUUGGCCACGAGCCACCCCAGUGCCGCAGGGAAGCCGUUAAGCAUGCCGCCUGGGAAGUACGAUCGCAAGGUUGAAACUUAAAGGAAUUGGCGGGGGAGCACCACCAGGCGUGAAGCCUGCGGUUUAAUUGGAGUCAACGCCGGA